rnacentral:rRNA from 1 species
GGUGAGUAAUACAUCGGAACGUGCCCGAGAGUGGGGGAUAACGAGGCGAAAGCUUUGCUAAUACCGCAUACGAUCUCAGGAUGAAAGCAGGGGACCGCAAGGCCUUGCGCUAACGGAGCGGCCGAUGGCAGAUUAGGUAGUUGGUGGGAUAAAAGCUUACCAAGCCGACGAUCUGUAGCUGGUCUGAGAGGAUGAUCAGCCACACUGGGACUGAGACACGGCCCAGACUCCUACGGGAGGCAGCAGUGGGGAAUUUUGGACAAUGGGGGCAACCCUGAUCCAGCCAUGCCGCGUGCAGGAUGAAGGCCUUCGGGUUGUAAACUGCUUUUGUACGGAACGAAAAGGCUCUUUCUAAUAAAUGGGGCUCAUGACGGUACCGUAAGAAUAAGCACCGGCUAACUACGUGCCAGCAGCCGCGGUAAUACGUAGGGUGCGAGCGUUAAUCGGAAUUACUGGGCGUAAAGCGUGCGCAGGCG